GCAGGCACUGAAGCCGUUAAUGGUAAAUUCAUACUUACAAUGUUAGAAAAAUAAGAUUCUGAUGAGGAAACAAAAGAUUGUUUUAGAUUGAAGAAGUAAAUAAUAGUAAGAAUAAGGACUUUUGCAAAAGCCAAGAAGUCUUCAGAUGAUCAGAGAAGUGUCUGAUACUGGAGAGAAAACUGAAUUAUGUCACCAAAAUUUGCCUUUUGCCUUGUGCAGUUACAGCCAUUUUUCUUGGUUAUUGCUUUAGGGAAACCAGGAAUCUCUGUGUUUUCUACAAAAAAGGUGUGGAAAAGCAGCAUGAGCAAAAGGAAGGACAUGGAAGCUACCAUCCAAAAAAAGGUGGAGACCUGGACCCUGUUAUCACACCUACUUCUUUGGCUAAUUACAGAAGAAGAAAUCAGAACAUGAGAACCAGCCAAAAAAGAUUCACAGUUGCCACUCUUUAGUUGCUACUUUAAUGGGAAACACAUGUGCAAGAUACCACCCAGGAGACAGCUGACCAGUGUGCUCUGCAAGAAGGAACAUCACCAGAAAAUGAUGAGAUGUGCAACCACAGGAGAUGGCGUAUUCUCUUGGACAGGCUGAACCCAGAAUGAAGGGUGAUGGAAUUUUUGUUCUUAUACAAAUAUGUGCUGGGACAAAGAUGAAAUGCUUGGACAGAAAUUAAUCUAUAGCAACAAAGUUAAAAGACAGUGACGAGAAUUGGUCCUUACUACUUAUCAUCUCAGCCACAUGCUCUGCAACCAGUUUACCAUCAGAUUUGGGAAGUUCUUAGCAAAGUUACCAUGAGUAAAAAUCCUGCAAAGGAAUUGGUAAAAAAGGGCACAGUAAUGAAUGUAAUUAUUAAGUAAUAAUGCUAAUACUCAUUAGUUACUUCCAACUAGAAGUAACCAGCACUGUUCCAAGAGCUAUACACGCAACAUCUCAUUAUAUCCCUAAUUUACAGGGUAGGGAUUACCUCUACUGUACUAGCUCAAACUGCCAUAGCAAAAUACAUAUACUAGUGACUUAAACAAUGGGAAUUGAAUUCUCAGAGUUCUGGAGAAGAACAAGAUCAA